UGCUAGAUUGAGUGUUGAGCUUGAUUUAGCAAUUAUUUAAUUAUAGUCUAAACUGAAACGAUUGCAAGAGCAUGCGGCUGUUAACCGCAGUGUCGUCAGUUCGAGUCUGUCAGGGGCAGCCA
rnacentral:tRNA from 1 species